rnacentral:lncRNA from 1 species
UAGAACUGUUUAAUUCAGGCUGGCCUUAAACUCACAGAGCUCUUCUGCCUUUGCUGGGAUGACAGGACUAUGCCAGUAACCCCUCUGUGUUUGUUCGUUUGUUGUUCCAGUUCUUUUGUUUUGUUUUCACCUUUAGUCUUUUGAUUUUUACUUUUAUUUCCCACCCACUAUGUCCACUGUUAGGGUGGAUGUAGCUCAGUUGGUGGAAUGCCUGCCCUCCAUGCAUAAGUCCCUGGGUCCCCACCCCCACUCCCCAUGGUUAAAACUGGACAUAGCUGUACUUGACAGGUGAGAGAUGAGGAGAAGAAAUUGAGGAAAUGUCAAAGAUGAAUUAUAUACUGUAAUUAUCUCUAGUAAGGUUUUUAAGGUACUCUUAUGCUGCUCUGAUAAAUUAAACCUGAUUUCAUUUACUGUUUUAUUUGGUCACACCAGUAGAUAGCAUAUGUUUCCAAACAGAAAGAUAAGCCUAAGAAGUUUCUGUCGAGCUCGAGUGCAGUAUUGUUUUGUCAAGCAGGCCAUUUCCUUUGGCCUUCGUAGGAAGUUUGAGGCCCUGGGUGCUGAUUGGCGGCGGCGGCAGCAGCAGCAGGCUGGGCACUGCAAUGAGGAGCCAGAGCACCUUGAGGUGGUGCUGACUAAAGUCCAAUGCUUGAGAGCGGUUGUGUGACCUGUGAUGGGCCAUGCGGUAUUUGGCCUGGAGUGUUAGUAGUUUUAUAUGAUGAAAGAAUCUGGAGGACUGGCCGCGUUGCUCAGGAAAUGUUCUUUCCUAGUACAUGCAAGGCCCUUGAGUGAGACCCACGUCAUGAGGGCUUGAGUGUGGAUCCCUAGUACUACAUAAGAAGUCAGAUGUGGCAUACACCUGUAAUUCCAAUGUUCUGAUCCCCAGGGCUAGUAGUCGUUCUCAGUUUCUAAGCUUCAGUUCUAGUGAGAAACCCUGUCUCAAAAGCUAAGAGAGCCAUAGGUAGAGGAAGAUGCCUGAUGUUGACCUCCGACCCCACACAUGCACACACUCCACACCCAGGUAAGCUGUAGACUGUAUGUAAACAAAUAUGUAUAGCUAGGUCGCAGCACAGUCUCAGUCAGAAAGCGGCACCAGGGUGGAUUUAUCUGCAGACUGGUCUGGGAGUCACUAGUUGGGACAGAAACAUGUAAGUCCUUGAAGGAGUAACUUGUCACUUGAGUGAGCUAGUGCCACUGAGGUGCACACGUUCUGUGCAGUGUGAGAGUCUAGAACUAGAGGGAGAGACGCCUCAUGCUCAAAAGCACUCUGGCUCUUCCCUGGGACCCAGGUUUAACUCUCAGCGCCCACAUGGCACCUUACAGCUGUCUGUAACUCCAGUUCCAGAGGAUCUCACACCAUUUUUUGGCUUCUGGUUACCAGACCAGGCACACAGGAGGUACAGAAACAUGCAUGCAGCCAAAACACUCAUAAAUAUAAAAUUUAAAAGAAAAAAAGAAUGA